rnacentral:rRNA from 1 species
CAUGUGGUUUAAUUCGAUACUACGCGCAAAACCUUACCAGCCCUUGACAUAUGAACAACAAAACCUGUCCUUAACAGGAUGGUACUGACUUUCAUACAGGUGCUGCAUGGCUGUCGUCAGCUCGUGUCGUGAGAUGUUUGGUCAAGUCCUAUAACGAGCGAAACCCUCGUUUUGUGUUGCUGAGACAUGCGCCUAAGGAGAAAUUGCCACCGAGUGACGUGCCAGCGCUACUACUUGAUUGAGUGCCAGCACGUAGCUGUGCUUUCAGCAAGAAUUUCACCAUUGGGAGCCGGUGCCUUUCGAAGCACUUUCACGUGUGAACCGAAGUCGUCUUGCCCAAGACCCACGGAGACCUACCUAUAGUGACGUCAAAGUACCAGUGAGCAUGGAGGUUUGGUUGAAAUUGGUUACGACGACGUCGAGUUGGCGGCGGAGGAAGACUCGGCAUGAAGGCCAGAAAAUGGUGUGGAACGUAGUGGUAAUAGUACGCGCCCCGCUCCGAAACAAAGAAAAAGGUGCGUGCCGCACUCACGAGGGACUGCCAGUGAGAUACUGGAGGAAGGUGGGGAUGACGUCAAGUCCGCAUGGCCCUUAUGGGCUGGGCCACACACGUGCUACAAUGGCAAUGACAAUGGGAAGCAAGGCUGUAAGGCGGAGCGAAUCCGGAAAGAUUGCCUCAGUUCGGAUUGUUCUCUGCAACUCGGGAACAUGAAGUUGAAAUCGCUAGUAAUCGCGGAUCAGCAUGCCGCGGUGAAUAUGUACCCGGGCCCUGUACACACCGCCCGUCACACCCUGGGAAUUGGUUUCGCCCGAAGCAUCGGACCAAUGAUCACCCAUGACUUCUGUGUACCACUAGUGCCACAAAGGCCUUUGGUGGUCUUAUUGGCGCAUACCACGGUGGGGUCUUCGACUGGGGUGAAGUCGUAACAAGGUAGCCGUACUGGAAGGUGCGGCUG